rnacentral:rRNA from 1 species
GCAGGCAGAUCCAUUCUCUGCCACCGAAUACAUUAGCAUGGGAUAAUGGAAUAGGACCCUGUCCUCCUAUUUUCAGUUGGUUUUGGCAGCGCGAGGACUAGGGUAAUGAUUAAUAGGGAUAGUUGGGGGCAUUAAUAUUUAAUUGUCAGAGGUGAAAUUCUUGGAUUUAUGAAAGAUUAACUUCUGCGAAAGCAUCUGCCAAGGAUGUUUUCAUUAAUCAAGAACGAAAGUUAGGGGAUCGAAGACGAUCAGAUACCGUCGUAGUCUUAACCAUAAACGAUGCCGACCAGCGAUUAGGAGACGUUGAAUACAAAACACCACCAUCGGUGCGGCUGUUCUUGGCGUCGGUUUCGGCCGGCGCGGGGAUGGCUUAGCCCGGUGGCACCGGUGAAUGACUCCCCUAGCAGCUUGUGAGAA